rnacentral:rRNA from 1 species
UGGGGAAUAUUGGACAAUGGGCGAAAGCCUGAUCCAGCAAUGCCGCGUGAGUGAUGAAGGCCUUAGGGUUGUAAAGCUCUUUUACCCGGGAUGAUAAUGACGGUACCGGGAGAAUAAGCCCCGGCUAACUUCGUGCCAGCAGCCGCGGUAAUACGAAGGGGGCUAGCGUUGUUCGGAUUUACUGGGCGUAAAGCGCACGUAGGCGGAUCUUUAAGUCAGAGGUGAAAUCCCAAGGCUCAACCUUGGAACUGCCUUUGAUACUGGGGAUCUCGAGUUCGGGAGAGGUGAGUGGAACUGCGAGUGUAGAGGUGAAAUUCGUAGAUAUUCGCAAGAACACCAGUGGCGAAGGCGGCUCACUGGCCCGAUACUGACGCUGAGGUGCGAAAGCGUGGGGAGCAAA